GUGCGGUUGAUAUGAUACAUGUGAAUUAAGGAGUAAUGUCACAAUCCAUGUUAUCAUCAAUUUUUAAUUUGACUACAUAAUUUUAUUGAAUUUAUAUUAUAAACAAUUAUAUAUUCAAGUUCCCACAUGUAAUUAAUAUACAACAUAUCGUCUCUGUACAAUAUUUAUUACUUCAUAAUAGGUUCUACUUGAUCAAAAAACGUUAGUUAACUGAAACAAAACUAUAAUGGGGAUAAACACGAUAUGGUCUACCGUUUUUACAUAAUUGUGUAUCGUUUACGGCAAUCAUAAAUACAUCGCGAUAUCACACGCACAUCUCAAUAUUAUACGGUUUCAAGAUAAAGGUAAGAUAUUUCUUUCAGUUCAGUGACAAAUGUGAGUGUGGAAAAAAAUGCUGCUUUUCGCCAUUUGAACGGCAGGCAUGUAGAAUAGGACACAAGUUUUAAUUUAUCGGAGAGGAAGAUUCGUGUUUUAAAUUGUUUAGGAAAAAAGGAUCCAGUUAGCAGAACCCUAAAAAUGGUUUUCUUCAUUUUCCAAAUGUCAGCAAUCACGCGGUCAUACACUGUGUACAGACAUCAUCGAAUUUCGGGAAAAUGGGCAACAGCCUGCUCAAGUGAUUAGAUGAAUGAUAACGAUGUGUGGAGUGCGAAGUAUGAGCCGAAAUUAUCCACUUGAAUUGAAAAAAAAAACUAAAAUGAUUGAAUAAAAACAGUACUAAAAAUGAAAAAAAUUGUAUUUAUUUUCGUUCUCCCUCUGCUUUGCCCACCACACCUAGAAAAAAAUCAAAACAUCAAUGGUAACAGUACAAUGGAUUUAAAAUAUAUGGUCACAUUAUAUGCGUAUGGUAUCCCGUAUAGUUUUUCUCGUGGAACAUAGAUUAUUUAACAACCGCAUGACAUGCUGUACGCCGAAAAAAAUG